UGAACCAUAGAAUUUUCAGAAUAGAACUUUAAGUCAAAGAAGCCAUUCUCCAGAAACACAAUGGUGGGUGAUUGGGCAUUUUAUUGCCACAGCAGUUCUACUACUUGGCCUGGAUCUUUUCAGCCCAUUGGGGAUCAUUUUGGACUCAGAGCCGAGGUCUGGUAUUGUUAGUUUUUUUUUUUACUUUGCCCCGCUUACACAUUCUUUGUAUCCUUACUCCAGUUAGAGCAGAGAGCGUGAUGAGUUACAAGGGUCAGGGAAGGGAUGUGAAUUGUAAUUCAGUAGUGGUGGGGAUCCGAUGCGGGAAGCAGAGACACAUAGUUGUAAGUGGGUGUGUCUGCUUCAAGAAUAGUUAAAAUCGAAAGAGACUGGGAGACAAAAGGAAAGAGCAAGAACUGAAAGAAUCCUGGAAUAACAGAGUGGACACAGAGAGUCUGUAAAGGGGUCAGAGAAGUAGACUCCCUGCAGUCCAACGAGACUCUUGGCGAGCCUCCGCCCCGCAAGAGGCGGGAUGACUAGCGAGGACUACAAAUCCCAGCAGCCCCCGGGACUCCGAUCCGCUCGCCCCACCGCGCAACGCCUGCUGGGGGCCGGCUACCGCGGCCAAGAUGUCGCUGAUCAAGAAAAGAAGGCUUGAGUCGGGGGGCGGCGGCGCCGGAGGGGAGGGAGCUGAGGAGGAAGAUGGCGGGGAGCAGGAGGCAGCCCCGCCACGACCCCGAAGGACUAAGCGCGAGCGAGACCAGCUGUACUACGAGUGCUACUCCGACGUCUCGGUCCACGAGGAGAUGAUCGCCGACCGCGUCCGCACCGACGCCUACCGCCUGGGCAUCCUGCGGAACUGGGCCUCGCUGCGAGGCAAGACCGUGCUGGACGUGGGCGCGGGCACCGGCAUUCUGAGCAUCUUCUGUGCCCAGGCCGGUGCCCGGCGCGUGUACGCGGUGGAGGCCAGCGCCAUCUGGCAACAGGCCCGGGAGGUAGUGCGGCUCAACGGGUUGGAAGACCGCGUGCACGUCCUGCCGGGCCCCGUGGAGACGGUGGAGCUGCCGGAGCAGGUGGACGCCAUCGUGAGCGAAUGGAUGGGCUACGGACUUCUGCACGAGUCCAUGCUGAGCUCCGUGCUCCACGCGCGGACCAAAUGGCUGAAGGAGGGCGGUCUCCUCCUGCCAGCUUCCGCGGAGCUUUUCGUGGCCCCGAUUAGCGACCAGAUGCUGGAAUGGCGUCUGGGGUUCUGGAGCCAGGUGAAGCAGCAUUACGGCGUGGACAUGAGCUGCCUGGAAAGCUUCGCCACGCGCUGCCUGAUGGGCCACUCGGAGAUCGUGGUACAGGGGCUGUCCGGCGAGGACGUGCUGGCCCGGCCGCAGCGCUUUGCCCAGCUCGAUCUGGCCCGCGCUGGCCUGGAGCAGGAGCUGGAGACCGGUGUGGGCGGGCGCUUCCGCUGCAGCUGCUACGGCUCGGCGCCUCUGCACGGUUUUGCCAUCUGGUUCCAGGUGACCUUCCCUGGAGGGGACUCGGAGAAGCCCCUGGUGCUGUCUACCUCGCCUUUUCACCCAGCCACUCACUGGAAGCAGGCGCUCCUCUAUCUGAAUGAGCCGGUGCCUGUGGAACAAGACACGGACAUUUCAGGCGAGAUCACUCUGCUGCCCUCCCGGGACAACCCCCGACGUCUGCGAGUGCUUCUGCGCUACAAAGUGGGGGACCAGGAGGAAAAGACCAAAGACUUUGCUAUGGAGGACUGAGCGCUGCCUUUUCUCCCAUCCACUUUCUUCGGAAGGUCGGAAGAGAAAAGGAGAUCUCCUGUGCAGAUAGGGGACAUUUUUGCCCCCUUUACCUCACCGUUUCCGGGGAAGGGAGAGUGACUUCAGUCUUCAUUUGAGGACAUUCUUCUGACAGUGUUUAUUUAAAAAGCACUGUGAUGGUAUGUAUCAGCAUGGCUAUACCAGAGGAACAGUGUAUGCCACUGAGUACCAAAGGGUCCAGCCGAGCAUGGCCUUUAGGAUGAGCACCUUUGGGAGGGCUGAAAGCCUGAGUUGUGUGACACCCAGGCACUGUGUGGUGUGUUCUGCCGAUUGGGACUGGUAAUGUGGGGAGCCCUUAGGGCUCCAGGCCUGGAAUACCAGACCCAAGAGAGAACAUCACGGUCAAGGUCCCCUCCCUCCCUCCCAGCUUGCAGUUAUUUAGCCCUGUAGUUUGUUUUCAAGCCAAUGAACAUAGUUGCUAAAAGUACAAUAACCACUGCCCUCUAAUAGAUGUCCACCACUAGAGAAACUAAAAGCCACGAUAGGAUGGUUGGAGUGUCAGGAAGGAUGAAUGUUGUUUACACAUUAAGUAAAAAGGUUUCUAUAGAUAGCGAUUUGCCUAAAGUUACAUAUAUAUCAUUCUUUUUUUGUUUCCUUUGUGAGAUGGGAUCACGUGUAGUGCACUGUCCUGGAACUCACUAUGUAUAGCUAGAAUGACCUUGGACUUCUGAUGAUCCUGCCUCCACCUUGCAGAUACUGGAGUUAACAACUCUGUGCCGCUGUGCCCAGCACACACCUAAUUUUUGGCUGUUAGAUCUUGGCACAAUUCUUUGACUUCCUGGACAUAAACAAAAUUUAACUUUCAUUAUGUUAAUCCUGCAUACUUCAGUUGAGAACAGAACACUACAGACCACCUGAACGAUACCAAAGGUUUAAUUAUUGAUGAUAAGAAAAAAAAGUGUUUAGUACUAGGGAGUCUCACAGGUGACCGACCCUAGAUCUGCCUGGAAAAAUCAUCUUCCGUGCAUAUCUCCCUCAGUUUGACAGUAGGACUCAUUGGAAAGCCCCUAUUUCUACUUCCCAAAUAGUUAAUCAAAGGUGACAGACGCUCUGGGGUCUUCAGAAAACUGAAUCCAUGACAGUGGCAAAGGCAAGUGAACUUGUCAUUUUGGCAGCGGGGCAGCUGAUAGAUCUAAAGGAGAUACAAAAAAUGGCAUAAGAGUUCAAGAAGGCAGAUGUGAAAGGUUUGCUUCAAACAGCUGCCAGCCCACAGUUUACACUACCCAGGACAUAGGAGAGAUGGCUCCUAGGGGGCAUUUACAGCACAGGCCCCACGCCAUCCACUUGCUCAUCUGUGUAUGUUUCUCUUUAUUAUUAACAACUACAUAGUACUUAAGCACCAUAAUAAAUAAGUAUAUCCUCCUCUCAAAGAUCUAGGAUGCGUUGGGGACAAUAGAGUAACAUCAGCUUUUUGCAUGCCUCCAUAAGCCUAGGAAGCUUGUCUAACUCCGAACUCUGCUGAGUGAACUUGGAAAGGCAGCUCCUCUCGUCCUUUCAGUCUCCCCAAGGACUGAGAAAUCCUCUCUUUAUCAACAGGUAGCUUGUGAACGCCUGGAAAACUUUCCCAUCUGAUACUCUCAAAUUAGGCAGUAUUUUCCAAAAUAUUAGUCUGUUCCAUGACAGGCAAAGUAUAUUAAAUAUGUGAUCCUUCUUGGCUACUAAUCAACAAAUCUCAACCAAAUCUGUAUCUAACCAUGUGUGUCUGUGUAUCUUCCCCAGCUUUCUACAUGAUAUCAUUUCCAUGCUUGUAGUAAUAGGAGUGGCGGGGCUGCGUCCCCAGCACCCCGGCUG